AAGAAAGUAAGCAAGGGCGCAUGGCGGAUGCCUUGGCUCUCGGAGGCGAUGAAGGACGUGAUAAGCUGCGAUAAGCUCUGGGUAGGUGCAAAUAACCUUUGAUCCAGAGAUUUCC
rnacentral:rRNA from 1 species